ACUCCUACGGGAGGCAGCAGUAGGGAAUCUUCCACAAUGGGCGAAAGCCUGAUGGAGCAAUGCCGCGUGAGUGAAGAAGGUUUCGGAUCGUAAAACUCUGUUGUUGAAGAAGAACAUGCGUGAGAGUAACUGUUCACGUACUGACGGUAUUCAACCAGAAAGCCACGGCUAACUACGUGCCAGCAGCCGCGGUAAUACGUAGGUGGCAAGCGUUGUCCGGAUUUAUUGGGCGUAAAGAGAAUGUAGGCGGUUUAUUAAGUUUGAAGUGAAAGCCCUCGGCUCAACCGAGGAAGUGCUUCGAAAACUGGUAAACUUGAGUGCAGAAGAGGAAAGUGGAACUCCAUGUGUAGCGGUGGAAUGCGUAGAUAUAUGGAAGAACACCAGUGGCGAAGGCGGCUUUCUGGUCUGUAACUGACGCUGAGAUUCGAAAGCAUGGGUAGCAAACAGGAUUAGAUACCCCUGGUAGCGACUGA
rnacentral:rRNA from 1 species